AGCGAACGCUGGCGGCAGGCCUAACACAUGCAAGUCGAACGGAUCCUUCGGGAUUAGUGGCGGACGGGUGAGUAACACGUGGGAACGUGCCUUUUGGUUCGGAACAACUCAGGGAAACUUGAGCUAAUACCGGAUAAGCCCUUCGGGGGAAAGAUUUAUCGCCAUUAGAGCGGCCCGCGUCUGAUUAGCUAGUUGGUGAGGUAAAGGCUCACCAAGGCGACGAUCAGUAGCUGGUCUGAGAGGAUGAUCAGCCACAUUGGGACUGAGACACGGCCCAAACUCCUACGGGAGGCAGCAGUGGGGAAUCUUGCGCAAUGGGCGAAAGCCUGACGCAGCCAUGCCGCGUGAAUGAUGAAGGUCUUAGGAUUGUAAAAUUCUUUCACCGGGGACGAUAAUGA
rnacentral:rRNA from 1 species